rnacentral:lncRNA from 1 species
CCAUCUCCAAUAUUCAGAAAUCUCUCACCAUCUUCAAAACUCCUACUGAUUUGAAGUCCUUGCAAUGAAUUGUAAAUGUUAAUAGGACUAUCAAUAUCUAAUACUCAGGUCAUUAUAUCACAAAUUGAGAAGUUACAAGAAGUUAUUAUAUAAUUACCUUGCUUAGCAACCGAUUACUUCUUCUUCUUUGGCCUGUUCGGAUCAAGAAAAGUAAUGUAUUGAGGAUAGUUUCUCUUUCAAUGAUCCU